GCUCCAAUAGCGUAUAUUAAAGUUGUUGCAGUUAAAAAGCUCGUAGUUGGAUUUGUGGCUUGGUCUGUCGGCCGAUGGACUUUGUCUGUUGUGCUGUACGGACCUGCCUUAUGGGAUUGUCUUCUUUGUGGCAUUAGGUUGUCGCAUUGUUGAUGCCAUCGUUUACUGUGAAAAAAUUAGAGUGUUCAAAGCAGGCUUAU
rnacentral:rRNA from 1 species